CUGAGUUCCGGGUCCAAUGGACCCGACCUCCAACCCUUUGUUGUCCGACUCUGUUGCCUCGGGGGCGACCCUGACCUUCGGGUCUCCGGUCCCCCCGGUGGACAUUCAAACUCUGCGUUAAUUUGUCGUCUGAGUAAAUUGAUUAAAUCAUAUCA
rnacentral:misc_RNA from 1 species